AAAACAAUCAUCUGAGGAAAGAAAAAGAAGUGUGUUGUAAAUAGAAUAUGUGAUGAAAUUGGCCUGAGUCUGAAACUCAUCAAUCUGGAACUCAUAGAUGCUGUAAAAUCAACAGGUAAUAGAUAAGAGGUCAUUCUAUUUCAUGGACAUUGCUUGGAGAUAAAAUAGCUGUUAGAGUUAAUAAUUCUCACUAUAAAUCUUACUAACUUAAAGAGCUCGGUUGUACAACUGUAGUUAUUUUUAUCUCAGUGACCUUAAUUAUUAAUGUGAACCCUUCAAUGUAACAGAUUUUGCUCUAUCAACUGUAUGCCCAGAAUAUGGAAGGUCCCAAAAGAGCACUAGGGAAAGGAGCAGGUGCUAUUAUAAUAUUUAAUUUGCACUACAUACCUUUAAUUUACAGUGAAUCAAAUCUGUCACAAUUAGACUUACCAUUGAAUCAAAAUGGAAAGUUCUUUACCAAGAGACUGUUGAGGUGCUGGCACAGGCUGCCCAGAGACGUUGUGGAUGCCUCAUCCCUAGAGGUGUUCAAGGCCAGGUUGGAUGGGGCCCUGGGCAGCCUGGUCUGGUAUUAAAUGGGGAGGUUGGUGGCCCUGCAUGUGGUAGGGGAGUUGGAGCUUGAUGAUCCUUGAGGUCCCUUCCAACCUGAUUCUAUGAAAACGUUGGUAGGGAGUUGAACAAAGCACAACUAGAAUGGACUCAGAAUCUGGUUUCAGCCUCAACUCACUUGGAAAAGAGCUUUCAGAUCUGCAGGACUCCUUAACAAAUCUUUUUUUCUGUGCUUUCAAAUGGUAUGAGUUGGCCUGGUGAGAGCCACCAUCUCUCCCUACAAACCUGGCUUCUGGAUCAUGCUCACAUAACUUAAAUCCGUUUGUUACAUAUAAGAUUAGGCUUGGGCAGACUUCUGGUCAAUAUGUCAUAUGGGCUAAAUUUAGUCUGUCUACUUUACGUGAGUUUUCAAGCCUACCAUGACCUGUUCCUUUUCUGAAGUCAGCCCACAUGAAAGUAGGGAGCAACGGGGUGGGCAGUAUUUAGCUUGAAUUUGAGUCUGUCUGGUCCUGAGUGGUUUUGUCAGUGUUAUGUGUAAACACAGAAUGUUAUUCUAAUUUAUGGAAAGCUUGUUUUAUUUCUGUGCUGCUGCCUCGUUGAAGAAUGGAAAGUUCUCCAUUUGCAUGGAAGAAAACUGAGACCCACCUCAGGGGGCUAACUGUUGUUGAUUUAUCUUACUCAGCCUCAAAAAAUGAGCUAAAUGAGAACUAAUCAAAAAAGUAUCAUAUGUCUCCUGUAAAGAUUAUCUCCUCUUCCUUGCUUGGAAAGAGAAAGGAGGAAACUAUGGGGAAGACAUCAGGUAACCUUAAAGUUACUACUUUGCUGAUGGUAAUUUCAUUCUGGUGUUUUGAUAAUUGAAGAUAAGCCUUCUUUCCCUCUCAGGUCAUCAGCUGCCAUCUGUAGCAUCAGAUGGGGUUUCCUGCAGAUACCAUUCCUGGGUAUCAUAGCCUGGGUCAUUUGUCCCAGGAUACACAGACUCCUUCCCAUUUUCCUCCGUGCUCACAUAAAGUAUCCAGCCCUAAAGCAAGUUGCCCUUCUCUCCUUCCUCACAAAAUUGCCCUACUCUUCAAAGAAGCAACCCUGAAACUUUACUCUGGUGUGGGAGUAUAUAUCUGCUUUCCAUGGUGAACUAGUGCUCUGUCACUUAUUUGAUUGUCCACUUUUCAAAUAAUCUAUUUUUGGGGGAAAAAAAAAUGACAUCAGGAUCCUACCUUAGCGUGUCAUCUUAGAAUAACUUCUAGUGCAAUUAUUGAAUGCCAAGAAGGAAAUUAUUUUUAACUCGCUGAGAGUUUUGUUCACACUAUUUGGAAAUGUUAACCUUUAUAUACCAUUCUAUGUUUUCCUGCCUUUUAUUCCACCAUGGUGAAGAACGAGCUUGUCAUUCACUCAAGAGGUCCAUUUCUCAUUUCUGGGCAAAUGACUGAAGUGCAGCCCUAGCAGGUCUGUACACGAAUACGAGAAUUUUCUCUUUACUGAUGUCUGAAUUUUCAGGUGAUGUAAGAGAUUCACAUACUAAGCACCCUGGAGGUAGGUUUUUGAAGAACAUCAGGUGAGCAUCCAAGUAGAUCUGCUGAUCUGUAAAGAGCAUUCAUGCCUGCUUUCCUUUUCGUGUGUAUUGGGAGCUCAGGCUCCUGAUAAGAUUCCCACCUUGCUGUUCACUCUAAACUUUCCUGGGGAUUUAUUAAUGAGUCCUCUGCAAGAAUUUAAAAAAGUGUGUUUUUGGAAGAAUGGUAAACUAUGUAAUUCAUACAAAAUAAGUCAAUAGAAUCAUAGAAUCAUAGAAUCAUAGAAUCACUAAGGUUGGAAAAGACCUAAAAGAUCACCCAGUCCAACCGUUCACCUAUUCCCAAUAGCUCCUACUAAACCAUGUCCCUCAACGCAACAUCCAGUCUUUCCUUGAACACCCCCAGGCUCGGUGAUUCCACCACCUCCCUGGGCAGUCCAUUCCAGUGCCUGACCACCCUUUCUGAAAAGUAAUACUUCCUCAUGUCCAGCCUGAAUUUCCCCUGGCGUAGCUUGAAACCAUUCCCCCUGGUCCUAUCCCUAAUGACACGAAUGCUACUUAAAGAUGGAGAGAGUAUAUAUGGCAGAUAGUACAUGAAUAUGAUACUAGAUGAACUUAUAUGAUGGGGGCAUUUUGUCAGCAAUGAUUCACUGGUGUGAAGAGGUAAAUAAGGUUCUGGUUUUCAGACCUUUGAAGCUCAAGAUGGUAAGUUCUGUGCUUUUUUUUUUUUUUUUCUCAAGAAAAUUCUUGCUUUCUGACUAAAAUAUCAAGGAAAAAAAAAGAAAUUUACAUUACAGUAAGGUACUUACUUGCAAAGUACUUAAAAAGACUUUGUAAUGACAAUGAAAUGAAAAAAAACCAAAAAACUUCUAAAACAUUCUUCACUAGCAUGCCAACUUUCUUAGUGUUUAGUUAAAAGAUGGAACUACGCAAACUGCUAUGCUUUAUUUAGUGACAUUAGUAGAGAAGGAACUAUGGGAAGCAAAAGAGAUGUAAGAAGCUAAUAGAAUUAAACCUGCAAAUUUAACAUGGAACAUUUCAAGUUUUCUCAAGUAGAGAUAAUCAAACCUUGCUAAUCUGUUUUACAAAUUCUCGUCACACAGGGAUGGUUAUGUAAAAAUUUCUUAGUAUAAAGUAGAAUUCACUACCCAUACUAAUGAUAGAUCUUUUAAACUAUUUGCUUCAGUGAAUGUUCCUUUAGUAUCCUGAAAUCCUGCAGUGAGCUGACAAAGGUGCCUUUGAAUACUUCAAUUAUGCACGGCUAUCUUUAUCCUAUUUAGAUUGACACUUAUCUAGAUUACAUGAUUGGUUAGCCUUUCAGAACAAGUUGACCCUUAAAUUAAAAUGUUGUCUCUUUGAAGACUACCAAUCAAAUUAAAACAACCAGUCAUAUCUUAACCUCAAAAAUGAACUGGUUUUCAAGUGCUCUCUUUGCAAUGAUCUGUUCCUACAAAAUAAUUUGUAAUCAUCAGUGACCCACUCUAAAGAAAUUCAAAUUCAACUGAACAUUGUGACUUUGAUGAGCCCCUCCCCCAGAGCUUUCUGGUCUUUAGAGCUGUGGUUUUGGUGGUUACAGAACAAAUUAUGGCAAGGCUGCUCUUUACAUUGGGUUGACGACUGACAAGAGCUAAACAGUAAGCCUGAAAGCCACUCCUCUUUUGACUACUGUGUGAAGACUUCUGACAGUAAUUGCCAGAGCUAUUCUUUCAAUGUUUAUAAAAAUCAGCAGACGUGGGGAUUUUUGAACAAAAGAGUCCAGAGCUGCAAGCAAUCCAGGAGACUGCUGGAGUCCAUCAACGAUAACUUUCUGGUUCAACUACUGGAGAGACCAAACAGAAGUGAAGUAUUACUGGACCUGGUCUCACCAAUGUAGAGGAGAUCUUUAAAGAAAUUAAGAAAACCAUCUGUCUGGAGUCUCUGGAGGAUUGCAACUCAUCCGCUUCAAGGAAGGGGUCUUCUAGUGAUUUAACCUCCUGAUUCUACAGAGGGUCUGUAGAUAGAAGCACAUUCUCUGUAGCUCCUGGCUGCAUCUGACCAGCAGUAGAAAAUCCAAUUGUACUGGAAGGCAAAGGGAAUACAAGGGCAUAGGAAGAAGUUGUGAUACCAGCUGUGCAUCGAGUUGGCAAGCUUCCCCAGCAGCCUUCACUUGACAUGAAAUCUGCCAUGCCUUGAUGGACAUCCAAGAGGAGAGUGAGGUCCCAGAGAGGCUGCCUAUGAAUUCAGGCAGCAUUAUAUGAAGAUGAGAAAUGUAUAAACAGCAGAGAUGCUGGAGGUCUGUGUCCCCAGUCAAACAGGUACAAACAAGACUAUGGAGUUAGAUAUAUGUAACAGCUCAUCUGCAGAGAAACAUCCCCUACAAGGCAGGAGGAUGGUGCUGCUAAUCACACGGCCAAAGUGCAAUGUUGUGAGACUGAAAUGGACAACCGAACCAUAUGAUCAGCCUUCUUUUAUGAGAACACUAUGUCAGUCAGUCAGUUUAUGACCUGAAAUUGGAUGGGAAAAGUCUGAUCCUGGCCCUGCUGAAUGCAAAGAGUUUCAUUUUGCCGUUCUGUUUAGGAGAUACAGCUUUGGAGCUCCUGUCGUCGCAUCCUCGACCUUUUGUGUGUCAUUACCUUGAGACUGAAGUUUUGCUGUCCCUCCCCCCUCCUGCUGGGAGCUGAGCAGAGCAGCACUGCAGGCACCCAGUGCCCAGGUCCUUCCUGUGUCAGAGGCCUCGGUGGGCUCAGCACAUCUUUGCAGCAGCAACCGAGGGUCCCUCAGCACCAGCUCUGGAGGACACUGCCACCCCUGUGCCUUCUCUAAAGCCACUGUAACUCCAGCUACGCAGAAUCUGAUGCUCUCUCAGCACACCUUCUGGGCUGCCAGAGCUCUGGUGCUUGUCACUGACUGAUGCCAUAGAUGUGCUGCUAUAUCUAACAGCAGUUGUCUUCUUAUCCCAGCUGUGACAGAGAAGUGUCCUACAGAAGAUGAGAUGAGCAUUGGCUUCCUCUCCAGAGCUGGUUAUUGAGCAGAAGGUAAUCAUUCCAAAGGUGAGGUGCUGGAUAUCAAUUUUAACUCCCUUCUCC